rnacentral:rRNA from 1 species
GGCGGACGGGUGAGUAAUGUCUGGGAAACUGCCUGAUGGAGGGGGAUAACUACUGGAAACGGUAGCUAAUACCGCAUAACGUCGCAAGACCAAAGUGGGGGACCUUCGGGCCUCAUGCCAUCAGAUGUGCCCAGAUGGGAUUAGCUAGUAGGUGGGGUAAUGGCUCACCUAGGCGACGAUCCCUAGCUGGUCUGAGAGGAUGACCAGCCACACUGGAACUGAGACACGGUCCAGACUCCUACGGGAGGCAGCAGUGGGGAAUAUUGCACAAUGGGCGCAAGCCUGAUGCAGCCAUGCCGCGUGUAUGAAGAAGGCCUUCGGGUUGUAAAGU